UCCGACCUGCACGAAUGGUGUAACCAUGGCCACGCUGUCUCCACCCGAGACUCAGUGAAAUUGAAAUCGCAGUGAAGAUGCUGUGUACCCGCACCUAGACGGAAAGACCCCGUGAACCUUUACUACAGCUUGGCACUGAACAUUGAACCUACAUGUGUAGGAUAGGUGGGAGGCUUUGAAGCACAGUCGCUAGAUUGUGUGGAGCCGUCCUUGAAAUACCACCCUUGUAUGUUUGAUGUUCUAACAUUGUUCCCUUAUCGGGAAUGUGGACAGUGUCUGGUGGGUAGUUUGACUGGGGCGGUCUCCUCCCAAAUAGUAACGGAGGAGCACGAAGGUUAGCUAAUCACGGUCGGACAUCGUGAGGUUAGUGCAAUGGCAUAAGCUAGCUUAACUGCGAGACAGACACGUCGAGCAGGUACGAAAGUAGGUCAUAGUGAUCCGGUGGUUCUGUAUGGAAGGGCCAUCGCUCAACGGAU
rnacentral:rRNA from 15 species